UGAUUAAGUAAACAUUUAAUCUGACAAAAAGGAUUCACACAGUGCUGAGUACAAAAUACAGAAAUAAAUGACAUACAGAUAACAAAUUGCAAAACAGUACAUAAAUAAAAUAGGAGAAAAUUCCUUACAUAUAUUUACCCCAUAUAGAAUUCUUGUGGGAGUCUUACAUGGUAUAGGUCUCCUAGAAGUUGCUGACAAAAGAAAAAUGAAUAACUGACCUCCCUGGAUAGUCCAACACCCUCAUAUGGUUGAGAGUGUAUGUCUGUCAGUGUAUGUCUGUCAGUCAAUGUAUGUCAAUAAACAGAAGGAUGG